rnacentral:rRNA from 1 species
AACGAACGCUGGCGGCAUGCCUAACACAUGCAAGUCGAACGAUUGCCUUCGGGUGAUAGUGGCGCACGGGUGCGUAACGCGGGGGAAUCUGCCCUUAGGUUCGGAAUAACAGCUGGAAACGGCUGCUAAUACCGGAUGAUAUCGCGAGAUCAAAGAUUGAUCGCGUGAGGAUGAGUCCGCGCUGGAUUAGGUAGUUGGUGGGGUAAAGGCCUACCAAGCCGACGAUCCAUAGCUGGUCUGAGAGGAUGAUCAGCCACACUGGGAGUGAGACACGGCGCAGAAUACUACGGGAGGCAGCAGUGGGGAAUAUUGGAAAGUGGGCGCAAGGCUGAUCCAGCAAUGACGGGUGAGUGAUGAAGGCUGUAGGGUUGUAAAGCUCUUUUACCCGGGAAGAUAAUGACGGUACCGGGAGAAUAAGCCCCGGCUAACUCCGUG